rnacentral:rRNA from 1 species
AGCGAACGUUUGCGGCGGGCUUAACACAUGCAAGUCGAACGAGAAUCCCUUCGGGGAGGAAAGUGGCGCACGGGUGCGUAACACGUGGAUAACCAACCCGUUGGUUUGGGACAACACCGGGAAACUGGUGCUAAUACCAGAUGUGUCGCAGCUGUCUUCAGGCGGUUGCGAGAAAGGCCCGCAAGGGUCGCCAACGGACGGGUCCGUGUCCCAUCAGCUAGUUGGUGAGGUAAUGGCUCACCAAGGCAAAGACGGGUAGCUGGUCUGAGAGGAUGAUCAGCCACACUGGAACUGAGACACGGUCCAGACUCCUACGGGAGGCAGCAGUGGGGAAUAUUGCGCAAUGGGCGAAAGCCUGACGCAGCCACGCCGCGUGAGCGAUGAAGGUCUUCGGAUCGUAAAGCUCUGUGGGGGGAGAAGAAGAAAGCCGGUGAAGAGCCGGCCCUGACGGUAUCCCCUUAGCAAGCACCGGCUAACUCCGUGCCAGCAGCCGCGGUAAAGU